rnacentral:rRNA from 1 species
UACGGAGGGUGCAAGCAUUGAUCGGAAUUACUGGGCGUAAAGGGCGCGUAGGCGGCCUUGAAAGUCAGAUGUGAAAUUCCGGGGCUCAACCCCGGAGCAGCAUUUGAAACUUCAAAGCUAGAGGUCAGUUAGGGAAAACGGAAUUCCACGUGUAGCGGUGAAAUGCGUAGAUAUGUGGAAGAACACCAGUGGUGAAGACGGUUUUCUGGGCUGAUACUGACGCUGAGGCGCGAGAGCGUGGGGAGCAAACAGG